GGGUCUGUGGUCUAGGGGUAUGACACUCCCUUAGCAUCUGGAUAAUGAUAACCAUCUGGAUAUUGAAUUGGGAGAGGUCCCGGGUUCAAUUCCCGGCGGAUCCA